AAAAUUCUCAGGACCCAUGAGAGAAAAAAGAGCAUUUCUUCUGCAGCUUUUUAGAGUUCUUGAAUAUGGACACUGGGAAGACAUGGUGAGCGAAGCAGAGCCUUCUCGGAGCCUUACGGUUUAGAAGUGGAGAUGGGCGUUGAUCAAAUAAUCGUCCAAAUAAUAUGCAAAAUUGCAACUGUGUUCUGGAGGCAAGAAGUCCAAGAUCAAGAUGUCAGCAGGGUUCCACAAAAUGGGGGAAAAUAUUUGCAAAUGAUGUGACCAACAAGGGAUUAAUCUCCAAAAUAUACAAAUAGCCCAUGCAGCUCUAUGUCAAAAAAACAAACAACCCAAUCAAAAAAUGGGCAGAAGACCUAAAUAGGCAUUUCUCCAAAGAAGACAUAGAGAUGGCCAAGAAGCAUAUGAAAAGAUGCUCAACAUCACUAAUUAUCAGAGAAAUGCAAAUCAAAACUCCAGUGAGGUAUCACCUCACACCAGUCAGAAUGGCCAUCAUCAAAAAGUCUACAAACAAUAAAUGCUGGGGAGGUUGUGGAGAAAAGUGAACCCUCCUACACUGUUGGUGGGUAUGUAAAUUGGUACAUCCCCUAUGGAGAACAGCAUGGAGGCUCCUUAAAAAACUUAAAAUAGAGCUACUGUAUGAUCCAGCAAUCCCACUCCUGGCAUACAUCCAGAGAAAACCAUAAUCCAAAAGGAUACAUGCACCCCAAUGUUUAUUACAGCGCUAUUUACAAUAGACAAGACAUGGAAGCAACCUAAAUAUCCAUUGACAGAGGAAUGGGUAAGGAAGAUGUGGUACAUAUAUACAAUGGAAUAUUACUUAGCCAUAAAAAAUAAUGAAAUAAUGCCAUU